AGACAGAUUUUCCCUCACUAUAUUCUUUAAGGAAGAGAUCAAACUGGAGACUUAUAUUUUUCUUCUCUGUCUCUACCUUUUAUUGGCAGAAAGGGGAGGUAUGCUUGCAGCUAGAAGGUUAUGGAAUAUUUUUAAUGCUUCCUCUUUCGCUCAUUGUAAAGCUGGCAAAGAUCCAAGAAAGUGAAGGGAUCUCAAGUGACUAAGUACAAGGGGCGACCACCAGCUCAUAAUUAAAAUUUUGAAUGACACCCUGAGGGAAUGGUUUACGAGAACAGCAGCGUUUAAUUCCUUACAUUGGAAAGAAAACUAAGACCAAGUUUCCGACUCUUUGUUGAAGAAAUGGUGAAAAUGUCAAAAAAUUGACUACUUUUAUGACCCACAACAUGAAAAUCCCUCUGCUUCUCUCUAAGACACUUAGUGGAAUUUGAACAAAAUUCAAGGGGAAGAACAUGAAGAACAACCUUUAUGAACCUUUAAAAGGCUGAAUCGCUAAAAUAGACUAUUAGAUGGUGGAGAAAAGGAUAGAAGAAGAAGAUUCAUGUGUGACAUACCGCUUAGAUGGGACUGAAGUGUGCCUCGACUCAGGAGCACAGAUCUUCCAGGUCUCCCAUGAAACGAUUUCUGAUUUCUUCCUCGCCCUCCUGUAGAGAUGCGUGUUUCCUUCCCUUUCCUUGAAACUGAAUCAAAUAUGUCAUUGUCAUUCCUGAUGUCUGUAAAUUUGCUCUCCACAGAUCUAAAAGGGAUGGGGUCAAUGGCAAACUGAAUACAAGUCAGCAGUGUCCUGGUGGCCAAGAGAGCCAACUCUGUCCUGGG